AGUUCCACACAACUGUGGUGUGAUGUUUUUUUUUUUUUUUUUUUUCUUUGUUUUGUUUUUCCUUCUUCUGUCUGUGUAUUGAAUCUUGUGUUUAGGAGGUCGGAUAAUUAAACCUUGACUGGCUCUGUGCUUUUGUCAAAAUAAAAGCAUUUAAUUUUGAGGAACAGACGCAAAUGUUAACUCAUGAGCUGCUGUUGACGGUGAUAGAUGUCCAAUUCGUUUCAGCUGUGAUGGAGUGGCAGAAAUUAGUCACUGAAAUAGCGCUCAGAGCCGUCAGAUGUCAUCUAGAGAAAUUAUGGAUCGGAUGAAUGGAUUGCGACCGCCAGCCAAGGUCGUUUAUCAUUACAUUUCCGCAUGCAGAUUUGCCCUCCACAGCCACUGUUUUCUUAGUCUUAAGAGUGAUACAAGCUUGCCGAUUUUUAACAUCUUAGGGGUGUAAUGAUUCGAUUCGUAUCAUCAUUCGUGGUUGCCGAUUCAAUUCAAGGGCAGUAUCGGUUCUUUUGGAACGAUGCGACUCAGUGGCUUGGAAUUGAUUCACUUACUUUUUAGUUUAAAGAUUGCACAAGUAUCACUGUGAAACUUCUGGAUACUUUGCAGUUCGCAGAUUUUUAUUUCUGGAAGGAAAUCGGUUACAAAAUUAAAUAUGGACAUUCAAGAUUUUCCUGUAUUUGUACUGCUGUGGAAUUUAAAAAAAAAGG